UCAGCAGUAGGGAAUCUUCCGCAAUGGACGAAAGUCUGACGGAGCAACGCCGCGUGAGUGAUGAAGGCUUUCGGGUCGUAAAACUCUGUUGUUAGGGAAGAACAAGUACRAGAGUAACUGCUYGUACCUUGACGGUACCUAACCAGAAAGCCACGGCUAACUACGUGCCAGCAGCCGCGGUAAUACGUAGGUGGCAAGCGUUAUCCGGAAUUAUUGGGCGUAAAGCGCGCGCAGGCGGUUUCUUAAGUCUGAUGUGAAAGCCCACGGCUCAACCGUGGAGGGUCAUUGGAAACUGGGGAACUUGAGUGCAGAAGAGAAAAGCGGAAUUCCACGUGUAGCGGUGAAAUGCGUAGAGAUGUGGAGGAACACCAGUGGCGAAGGCGGCUUUUUGGUCUGUAACUGACGCUGAGGCGCGAAAGCGUGGGGAGCAAACAGGAUUAGAUACCCUGGUAGUCCACGCCGUAAACGAUGAA
rnacentral:rRNA from 2 species